rnacentral:lncRNA from 1 species
AUGCUAUUCUCUUUCAAAGAGCUUCUUGCCCAUUAUGCCCAUGUUUUUACUUUGAGGACUGAAUAUUCAUUCCACUUGAAAAUAAAGCUUGACUAUAAUUUUAUUUUAUGUCUUUUUUAUUUCUGUUUCAUUUCUCCAAGAUUUUGAGUUCGUCUUUGUUUUCUGAAGUUUGCUUAUGAUAUUCCUAUAUGUGGAUUUGUUGAUAUUUAUUGUAGUGGGUGGUCUUUGAGUUUUGUGGACCUGUGUUUUAUAAUUGUUUCACAGUUUUUGAGUAUUCUAUUUCAUCUUUUCAUCUUGUUUUUUUCUCUUUCUUACUUUUGGAAGGUUUUUUUUUUUUCUUCUAUUUUUGGAAGUUUCUAUUGACAUAUCUUCAAGCAUACUGAUUCUUUUCUCAGCUUCUCAGCUGUGUCCUGUCUGCUGAUGAGCCUGUCAAAGACAUUUUUCAUGUCUGUUACAGUAUUUUUUAUUUUUAGCAUUUCAUUUUGAUUCUUUCUUAGGAUUUCCAUGUUUCUGCUUGUAUUAUCCCUGCCUCUGUUCUUGCAUAUGUUCCCUUUUCCAUUAAAGCUCUUACUUAUCAUAUUAAUAGUUUUAUUUUACUAAUUUUUUUUGUAGAGAUAAAGUCUUGCUAUGUUGCCCAGGGCAGUCUCUAAUUACUGGUCUCAAACAAUCCUCCUGCCUUGACCUCCUAAAGCACUGGGAUUACAGGCAUGAGCCACUGUACCUGGCCUAAUCAUACCUAUUUAACUUUUGUUUCAGAGAAAUCGUGUUGAUUACCCCAAAUAUUACCAUUUAAAACUUAUUAUUAUAUUUUUUCAUUUUUAAUUUUUGUGGGUACAUAGUAGGUAUAUAUAUUUAUGGGGUACAUGGGAUAUUGUGACACAGGCUUCAAUGUGUAAUAAUCACAUCAGGGUAAAUGGGGUAUUCAUCACCUCAAGCAUUUUUCUUUUGUGUUAAAAACAAUCCAAUUAUACUCUGUUAGUUAUUUUUAAAUGUACAAUAAGGUAUUGUUGACUAUAGUCACCCUGUUGUGAUACCAAACACUAGUUCUUAUUCAUUUUAGCUAUAUUUUUGUACACACUAACCACCCCCACUCCCCAACCCUGCAAACUACCCUUCCCAGAUACUGGUAACCAUCAUUCUACUCUAUAUCUCUAUGAGUUUAAUUGCUUUAAAUUUUUUUUUAGCUCCCACAAAUAAGUGAUAACAUGCAAAAUAUGUCUUUCUGUGCUAUUUCACUUAACAUAAUGACCUCCAGUUUCAUCUAUGUUGU